rnacentral:rRNA from 5 species
CCGGUAGCUAAAUGCGGAAGAGAUAAGUGCUGAAAGCAUCUAAGCACGAAACUUGCCCCGAGAUGAGUUCUCCCUGAGACUUAGAGUCUCCUGAAGGAACGUUGAAGACGACGACGUUGAUAGGCCGGGUGUGUAAGCGCAGCGAUGCGUUGAGCUAACCGGUACUAAUGAACCGUGAGGCUUAACCUUACAACGCCGAAG